rnacentral:rRNA from 1 species
CCUACGGGUGGCAGCAACUAGGAAUCAUGCACAAUGGACGAAAGUCUGAUGCUGCGACGUCGCGUGGAGGAUGAAGGUCUUAGGAUCGUAAACUCCUUUUAUUGGGGAACAAAUUUUGAGUGUACCCAUUGAAUAAGUGCCUGCUAACCACGUGCCAGAAGCAUCGGUAAUACGUGGGGCACAAGCGUUAUCCGGAUUUACUGGGCGUAAAGAGAUGCGUAGGCGUUUUUGUAAGUCUGAUGUUAAAUCUCGUCGCUUAACGACGAGACCGCGUU